rnacentral:rRNA from 1 species
CCCUUAGACGUUCUGGGCCGCACGCGCGCUACACUGACCAGUGCAACAAGCAUCCGUCCUUGGCCGACAGGCCCGGGCAAUCUUUGAACGCUGGUCGUGAUGGGGAUAGACUUUUGCAAUUUUUGGUCUUCAACGAGGAAUUCCUAGUAAACGCAAGUCAUCAACUUGCAUUGAUUACGUCCCUGCCCUUUGUACACACCGCCCGUCGCACCUACCGAUUGAAUGGUCCGGUGAAGCCUCCGGAUUGGCGCGCACCUCGGUGCCGCCGAGAAGUUGGCUAAACCUUACCAUUUAGAGGGAGGUGAANUCGUANCA